rnacentral:misc_RNA from 1 species
GUGAAUCAUCGAAUCUUUGAACGCAAAUUGCACUCUCCUCGGAGAGUAGGCCUGUUUGAGGUUCAGCCUAUAAAAAAUCGACAUCGUUUCUGUUUCGUGGUGGUGUUCGUCGGAAGUUGGGUCAUCUUAAAUCUUUUGGGUUUAAGCGACUUAAAAUUUUCUUUUUGGGUCCGUGAACGUUUCCAAU